UACGGAGGGUGCAAGCGUUGUCCGGAAUCACUGGGCGUAAAGGGCGCGUAGGCGGCUCAUGAAGGCUGUGGUGAAAGUCCGGGGCUCAACCUCGGAUCGGCCGUGGCGACUCGUGGGCUGGAGCACUGUAGAGGCGGGUGGAAUUCCGGGGUGUAGCGGUGGAAUGCGUAGAGAUCCGGAAGAACACCAGUGGCGAAGGCGGCCCGCUGGGCAGUGGCUGACGCUGAGGCGCGACAGCGUGGGGGAGCAAACAGG
rnacentral:rRNA from 1 species